GCUGGGUGAGGUGGUGCACAGCUGUAAUCCCAGUGCUUUGGGAGGCUGAGGUAGGAGGAUGGCUUGAGCCCAGGAGUCUGAGCCUGCAGUGAGCUAUGACUGUGCCACUGCACUCUAGCCUGGGCAACAGAGUAAGACCCUAUCUCAA
rfam:Homo sapiens chromosome 2 genomic contig, GRCh38 reference assembly alternate locus group ALT_REF_LOCI_1.